UUGGAGGGCAAGUCUGGUGCCAGCAGCCGCGGUAAUUCCAGCUCCAAUAGCGUAUAUUAAAGUUGUUGCAGUUAAAAAGCUCGUAGUUGAAUUUCGGGAUUUAUCCGUCGGUCGGGCUUUUGGGUCUGUACUGGCGUGAUGGAUUCCUACCUUCUGAAUAACCGGCAUGUCAUUAAUUUGGUGCGCCGGGGAAGCAGGACUGUUACCUUGAAAAAAUUAGAGUGCUUAAAGCAGGCUUAUGCCUGAAUACAUUAGCAUGGAAUAAUAAAAUAGGACGGCAUGGUUCUAUUUUGUUGGUUUCUAGGAUCACCGCAAUGAUUAAUAGGGAUAGUUGGGGGCAUUAGUAUUCAAUUGUCAGAGGUGAAAUUCUUGGAUUUAUUGAAGACUAACUUCUGCGAAAGCAUUUGCCAAGGAUGUUUUCAUUAAUCAAGAACGAAAGUUAGGGGAUCGAAGACGAUCAGAUACCGUCGUAGUCUUAACCAUAAACUAUGCCGACUAGGGAUCGGACGAUGUUAAUUUUUUAAUGACUCGUUCGGCGCCUUACGGGAAAC
rnacentral:rRNA from 1 species